GAUGAACGCUAGCGACAGGCUUAACACAUGCAAGUCGAGGGGCAGCAUAGAGUAGCAAUACUUUGGUGGCGACCGGCGCACGGGUGAGUAACGCGUAUGCAACCUACCUAUCAGAGGGGGAUAACCCGGCGAAAGUCGGACUAAUACCGCAUAAAACAGGGGCACCGCAUGGUGAUAUUUGUUAAAGAUUAAUUGCUGAUAGAUGGGCAUGCGUUCCAUUAGGUAGUUGGUGAGGUAACGGCUCACCAAGCCGACGAUGGAUAGGGGAACUGAGAGGUUGGUCCCCCACACUGGUACUGAGACACGGACCAGACUCCUACGGGAGGCAG
rnacentral:rRNA from 1 species